rnacentral:rRNA from 2 species
CACGUAGGGACCAAGCGUUGUCCGGAUUCAUUGGGCGUAAAGAGCUCGUAGGCGGUUCGGUAAGUCGGGUGUGAAACCUCCAGGCUCAACCUGGAGACGCCACCCGAUACUGCCGUGACUAGAGUCCAGUAGGGGAGCGUGGAAUUCCUGGUGUAGCGGUGAAAUGCGCAGAUAUCAGGAGGAACACCAGCGGCGAAGGCGGCGCUCUGGGCUGGAACUGACGCUGAGGAGCGAAAGCGUGGGGAGCGAACAGG